rnacentral:rRNA from 1 species
GACAGAGGUGCCAAGCGUUAGGCGGAAUCACUGGGCUUAAAGCGUGUGUAGGCGGAUUUGUAAGUACCUUGUGAAAUCCCACGGCUUAACCGUGGAACUGCUCGGUAUACUGCGAAUCUUGGGCCAUCUAGGGGCGAGCGGAACAAGUGGUGGAGCGGUGAAAUGCGUAGAUAUCACUUGGAACGCCAAUGGUGAAAACAGCCCGCUGGGGAGGUGCCGACGCUGAGACACGAAAGCCAGGGGAGCGAACGGG